rnacentral:rRNA from 1 species
UACGGAAGGCAGCAGUGGGGAAUAUUGCACAAUGGGCGAAAGCCUGAUGCAGCUAUGCCGCGUGUAUGAAGAAGGCCUUAGGGGUUGUAAAGUACUUUCAUCGGGGAGGAAAAAACAAAACUAAUAAUUUUAUUUCUUGACGUUACCCGAAAAAGAAGCACCGGCUAACUCCGUGCCAGCAGCCGCGGUAAUACGGAGGGUGCUAGCGUUAAUCAGAAUUACUGGGCGUAAAGAGCACGUAGGUGGUUUUUUUAAGUCAGAUGUGAAAUCCCUGGGCUUAACCUAGGAACUGCAUUUUGAAACUGAAAUACUAGAGUAUCGUAGAGGGAGGUAGAAUUCUAGGUGUAGCGGUGAAAUGCGUAGAUAUCUGGAGGAAUACCUGUGGCGAAAGCGGCCUCCUAAACGAAUACUGACACUGAGGUGCGAAAGCGUGGGGAGCAAACAGGGAUUAGAUACC